CCUACGGGUGGCAGCAGUCGAGAAUCAUUCACAAUGGGGGAAACCCUGAUGGUGCGACGCCGCGUGGGGGAAUGAAGGUCUUCGGAUUGUAAACCCCUGUCAUGUGGGAGCAAAUUAAAAAGAUAGUACCACAAGAGGAAGAGACGGCUAACUCUGUGCCAGCAGACGCGGUAAUACAGAGGUCUCAAGCGUUGUUCGGAAUCACUGGGCGUAAAGCGUGCGUAGGCUGUUUCGUAAGUCGUGUGUGAAAGGUGCGGGCUCAACCCGCGGACGGCACAUGAUACUGCGAGACUAGAGUAAUGGAGGGGGAACCGGAAUUCUCGGUGUAGCAGUGAAAUGCGUAGAUAUCGAGAGGAACACUCGUGGCGAAGGCGGGUUCCUGGACAUUAACUGACGCUGAGGCACGAAGGCCAGGGGAGCGAAAGGGAUUAGAUACCCCUGUAGUC
rnacentral:rRNA from 1 species